ACGUAGGGGGCAAGCGUUGUCCGGAUUUAUUGGGCGUAAAGAGCGUGUAGGCGGCCAGACAGGUCCGUUGUGAAAACUCGAGGCUCAACCUCGAGACGUCGACGGAAACCGUCUGGCUAGAGUCCGGAAGAGGAGUGUGGAAUUCCUGGUGUAGCGGUGAAAUGCGCAGAUAUCAGGAAGAACACCUAUGGCGAAGGCAGCACUCUGGGACGGUACUGACGCUGAGGCGCGAAAGCCAGGGGAGCAAACGGGA
rnacentral:rRNA from 1 species